AUCGCCUAGGACCCCGUGAGGAAUUUCCUCCGUAAUCACAAACCCAGCACGCAGGGGAUUUAUGCGGCAGAAUCCCAAUUUCGGCCACGGCACUCGGAGGAGGAUACCGGUUCUCUAUCGCGGAAAUGAAAGCCCAGCACCCCGGCGUUUCGGGGACGGACAGCGGGACACCAUGUCCUGGGGUGACUUUAUGAUACCGGUAUCCCCAAUCGUCUGGUUUAUGUUAAAUAUUAAGUUCUGCACCUUUAAGACCGGCUCUGAAGGCGAGAGCGGGGGGAAGAAGAAGCACGCCCUUUGCGUUAAGGAACAAACAUCAGUCCCACACAUCCCGCUCCUGGACCGUGGUGUCUGCAGCACGGACAGACAACGGGACAGAGCUUCUCUCUGGCUUUUAGUUGGUUUUAGCUAGCUGAGGCAGAGGAGUUCCCUGGACCUUUGUUUUUUUUUUCCUUAUUUUGUUUCCUUGGAUCUGUGCAAACCUGCUCCGGACCGAACACCCGGCCAAACCCCGGGAGCUCACGCCUUUGGCCCACCGGGGCCCGGGCCUCGGCACUUUUCAGCGCCGGAAGGACCGAUAAGAACCCGAGCGAGGCGAGCUACACCACAUGAAAAGGACUUUUCUUCCUAGACUUGCCAUCCCAUUGAACAGUGAGAAGUUUUAUUAUUUCAUAUUAUUCAAUUUCUGUUAAAUAAACAGCUUUUUCCACUUCUUUCCAAGGAAUUUUUUUUUUCCUUUCCUGGACCAGUUGGUAGGGAGGGGUCAUUUCCCUGGGGAAAUCCCCAUUUGGAGUUUUCCUCCCUAAUUUGCCCUAAACUAGGACACAGCAUUUCAAGGGUUUAAAGCUGCAUUUCAGGAUACCUCUACCCACGCCCCGGCACCAAAUAUUUCCAACAGGAGCGAGUCCAGCAGGAGGAUUGCAGUUUCCUGAAGUUCUCGGUCACGUCAAGUGCGAUACUUCAGAUUCUCUCAGCAGAUUCAUCGUGACACAAAAGGGAACCACUGCGGCAGCUUUCCUUAGCAGCAGAUCGGUCUCUCCGAUGGAUUCGCUUCGGAGAGAUAAGUCGAGGGCUGUGGUCACAGAGGGGAUCGAAGCAGGGCAGUGGGUUAGGAUUCACACCGGUUAGGGUUUUGAGUCAGCUACAGGGAGGGGGAGGUUUGAGAACUGGCCUCUGGGGCUACGGUGAGGGAAAGGCUCACUUUGGCUAGCAAUGCUGAGGCGGGCAGGGCAGAGCAGUCCCAAGGUGUGUCGUCACUUGUCUGUCGUGCUUUCCGUGUCUUCCGUUCAUCUCGUGUAACAUGUCUCUUGCCUUAGUCCUCCCAGGAGCUUAUGAGAAACCCCAGGUCCUUCCGGUCAUCUCCCAUCUUUGCGUUCCUCGGCCCGGGGCCGACGCCGGCGAAGUUUCGAUUCGGGAGGUCAGACAGGCGUCAGAAUCGCAUCUCUCUUCAGCAGCAUCCGAUCGGAUGUCUUUUUAGGUCUUGUUCUCAGCUGUGUUGACAGCUGUAUGCAGUAAUCUUUCUUUACAGUGGAUAAGGACUUGUGCCGAUUCAAAGGCAGGCAGAGGCUUCCAGCCACAGGAUUCUCAGGCAUCCGUCUCUGCGGUUCUCGGAAUAAGUCGUUCCGUUAGCAUCUUUUUCCUCCGGGGUCAUCCGAGCCCGGCGGGCUCGCCUUCGGUCCCAUCUCGGUCAUCUCGUUCAGCAUUUUCUUGGUCCUUGUGAGGACUUUCUCGUCUCAGAGAGUUUUCUCUCCCUGUCGUGUCCCCUCGUCUCACGUGUCACGGGUGUCUGGGGGUAUUCGGUCCGGAACUGCUCUGCCCUGCCGCCCGGCCCCGUUGCAGGUGUUCAAGGACAAGUCCUGGGCACUUGUAAUUGGAGACUCGUAAUAUGGGCUGUAGUUGGAGUCUAGGUAGUAUUCUUAUGUUGGCAGAAGGUGUCUGGAGCUGUGAAGUUACCCUGCAGCACUUUGACUUUUUUCCUAACUUUCUUUCAGAUGCGGAUGGAUCGACCUCCCGGCAGAGCGCCCUGUCCCAGAUGAGGGGAUCCCCCUGAGAAGGAAGUAAAGCCGGAUAGCAGCAGUGAAGGCGAAGCAUUGUGAAGGCUGCCUCCUGAUGUUGUGCUGAGGCCCCCUCACUGACAUGCCAAGAGACCCGGUUUGCUUCUCCGGUGAGCCCCAGCAAAUGUUACCGGAGUCCGUGACGAAGCCUCGACCUCGUCCACGUGAAGGCGUGCCCCGCGACGACGGCGUCCGCCUCGGAGCGUGGCCGAAGCGUGCGGCCCGAGGACCCGGGCGUUCCUAAGAGACGGUGAGUAGGAGCAUAGUUGGGUUUUGGUGAAUAUGCCACUAAGAUUCUGCACUUAUAUUUGGUUUUUUUUAUCAUAGGUGAUGAUACUUGUCUGAGACAACAGCUCGGCGAGAGAAGAACUUCCCAGAUGGCGAGGUGGCUUCGUUUGGCCCCCGACCGGCCUCUCGCCGUGACUCACGUCUUCAGCCACCCGAGAGAUAAGCGGAGCCCGCAGAGGGGAUCAAAGCAGGGCGGCGGGUCGGGACUCAGAUCGGUUUGGGUUUUUGAGUGAGCUUUGGGGAUGGGGAGGCUCUAGAAAUGACCCCAUAGGCCCCAUUGAGGGAAAGCCUCACUUUGGCUCGCAGCGCUGAGGCGGGCAGGGCAGAGCAGUCCCAGGGUGUGUCGUCACAUGUCUCUCGUGCCUUCCGUGUCUUCCGCGCAUCUCGUGUAACAUGUCUCUUGCCUUAGUCCUCCCAGGGGCUUUUGAGAAACCCCGGGGUCCUUCCGGUCAUCUCCCAUCUUUGCGUUCCUCGGCCCGGGGCCGACGCCGGCGAAGUUUCGAUUCGGGAGCUCGGACAGGCGUCGGAAUUGCAUCUCUCUUCAGAAGCAUCCGAUCGGAUGUCUUCUUAGGUCUUGUUCUCAGCUGUGUUGACAGCUGUGUGCAGUCAUCUUUCUUUACAGUGGAUAAGGACUUGUGCCGAUUUAAAGGCAGGCAGAGGCUUCCAGCCACAGGAUUCUCAGGCAUCCGUGUCCGCGGUUCUCGGAAUAAGUCGUUCCGUUAGCAUCUUUUUCCCCCGGGGUCAUCCGAGCCCGGCGGGCUCGCCUUCGGUCCCCCCUCGGUCAUCUCGUUCAGCAUUCUCUUGGUCCUCGUGAGGACUUUCUCGUCUCAGAGAGUUUUCUCUCCCUGUCGUGUCCCCUCGUCUCACGUGUCACGGGUGUCUGGGGGCAUUGGGUCCGGAACUGCUCUGCCCUGCCGCCCGGCCCCGUUGCAGGUAUUCAAGGACAAGUCCCGGGCACUUGUAAGUGGAGACUCGUAAUAUGGGCUGUAGUUGGAGUCUAGGUAGUAUUCUUAUGUUGGCAGAAGGUGUCUGGAGCUGUGAAGUUACCCUGCAGCACUUUGACUUUUUUCCUAACUUUCUUUCAGAUGCGGAUGGAUCGACCUCCCGGCAGAGCGCCUUGUCCCAGAUGAGGGGAUCCCCCCGAGAAGGAAGUAAAGCCGGAUAGCAGCAGUGAAGGCGAAGCAUUGUGAAGGUGGUCUACUUGCAAGAUAUCCCAGCCCAGGAUGCCAGAGGACAGGUGGGUGCAAGCUCUAAGUGUGUUUUGGUGUUUAAGUCCCUGGUUUGCUGAUAAUGUUUAGUUCUCUAAGAUAGAAUGAAAGAACCACAUCACGAAUCCCACCUUGUGGAUCCUGACACGAAUCGGUGUCACGGACAGGAUUCUGAGAGACAGAAGGGGUUGCAGAUUUGUCGUGCACUCGGUAUCGGGGGAAAGACGUUUCGCCUCAGCCGCCCCUAGCCUGCCACGCUGGUGAGCAGUGUCUAGA